UAGGGAAUCUUCGGCAAUGGGGGCAACCCUGACCGAGCAACGCCGCGUGAGUGAAGAAGGUUGUCGGAUCGUAAAGCUCUGUUGUAAGAGAAGAACGUGUGUGAGAGUGGAAAGUUCACACAGUGACGGUAACUUACCAGAAAGGGACGGCUAACUACGUGCCAGCAGCCGCGGUAAUACGUAGGUCCCGAGCGUUGUCCGGAUUUAUUGGGCGUAAAGCGAGCGCAGGCGGUUUAAUAAGUCUGAAGUUAAAGGCAGUGGCUUAACCAUUGUUCGCUUUGGAAACUGUUAAGCUUGAGUGCAGAAGGGGAGAGUGGAAUUCCAUGUGUAGCGGUGAAAUGCGUAGAUAUAUGGAGGAACACCGGUGGCGAAAGCGGCUCUCUGGUCUGUAACUGACGCUGAGGCUCGAAAGCGUGGGGAGCAAACAGG
rnacentral:rRNA from 1 species